GCUUCCAUAGCUCAGUUGGUUAGAGCGUCGUACUAAUAUGGACUACAUUCCGUCUUUGGUGAUGCGAAGGUCGCAGGUUCAAUCCCUGCUGGGAGCA
rfam:Isaria fumosorosea ARSEF 2679 scaffold_41, whole genome shotgun sequence.